rnacentral:rRNA from 1 species
GCUUUUUGAUUUCUAAAAUAAAAAGUCGGGCCUGCCCGGUGAUAUUAAUUAAACGGCUGCAACGAGAGUUGUGCUAAGGUAGCGCGAUAAUUUGUCUCUUAAUUGGAGAAUGGUAUGAAAGGUUUGACGUAGACCGAUUGUCUCUAUAAAAAAAAAUGAAGUUUCCUUUUAAAUGAAAAGGUUUAAAUUUUUGUAAAAGACGAGAAGACCCUGCCGAGCUUAAUUAGGUUUAUAAUUUAGUUAUUGUUAUUAUUUUUAAAGUUGAAUUUUAGUUGGGGAAAGCUAAACUUAAGAGAACAAGUUUAUAAAAGUGUAGAUCCUUUUUGAGAGAGAAUUAGUAAAAGCUACCGCAGGGAUAACAGCGUAAUUUUUCUUGAGAGAUCGAAUUGAGGGAAAAGUGUGCGACCUCGAUGUUGGAUUAGGGAAACUUUUUGGUGCAGCAGCUAAAAAUGUAAGACUGUUCGUCUUUUAAACCUCU